GAUGAACGCUGGCGGCGUGCCUAAUACAUGCAAGUCGAGCGAACAGACGAGGAGCUUGCUCCUUUGAUGUUAGCGGCGGACGGGUGAGUAACACGUAGGUAACCUACCUAUAAGACUGGGAUAACUUCGGGAAACCGGAGCUAAUACCGGAUAAUAUUUCGAACCGCAUGGUUCGAUAGUGAAAGAUGGCUUUGCUAUCACUUAUAGAUGGACCUGCGCCGUAUUAGCUAGUUGGUAAGGUAACGGCUUACCAAGGCAACGAUACGUAGCCGACCUGAGAGGGUGAUCGGCCACACUGGAACUGAGACACGGUCCAGACUCCUACGGGAGGCAGCAGUAGGGAAUCUUCCGCAAUGGGCGAAAGCCUGACGGAGCAACGCCGCGUGAGUGAUGGAGGUCUUCGGAUCGUAAAACUCUGUUAUUAGGGAAGAACAAACGUGUAAGUAACUGUGCACGUCUUGACGGUACCUAAUCAGAAAGCCACGGCUAACUACGUGCCAGCAGCCGCGGUAAUA
rnacentral:rRNA from 1 species